CGCCGGCGACCGGCGCACGGGUGAGUAACACGUAUGCAACCUGGCCGUGACAGAUGGAUAACCGGGAGAAAUCCCGCCUAAUACAACAUAAUGCCGGGAGGGGACAUCCCCUGCCGGCCAAAGGGGCGACCCCGGUCACGGAUGGGCAUGCGGCGCAUUAGGUAGUUGGUGGGGCAACGGCCCACCAAGCCGACGAUGCGUAGGGGUUCUGAGAGGAAGGUCCCCCACAUUGGAACUGAGACACGGUCCAAACUCCUACGGGAGGCAGCAG
rnacentral:rRNA from 1 species